UCAAGAAACUUCCACAAUGGGCGAAAGCCUGAUGGAGCGACGUCGCGUGAUGGACGAAGUGCUUCGGCACGUAAACAUCUUUUAUGUGGGAUGAAAUUAUUGACAGUACCACAUGAAUAAGGGGCUCCUAACUCUGUGCCAGCAGGAGCGGUAAUACAGAGGCCCCAAGCGUUAUCCGGAAUCACUGGGCGUAAAGGGUGUCGAGGCGGUUGUAUUAGUCGUUCGUAAAAUCUACGAGCUUAACUUGUAGGCGGCGAACGAAACGGUACGACUUGAGGUUUGGAGAGGUGCGUGGAACUCACGGUGUAGGGGUGAAAUCCGUUGAUAUCGUGGGGAACACCAAAGGCGAAGGCAGCGCACUGGCCAAAAUCUGACGCUCACACACGAAAGCUAGGGUAGCGAAGAGGAUUAGAUACCCAAGUAGUCCUGAGCGGGCUGGCAAGGCGCAU
rnacentral:rRNA from 1 species